UUAUAAUCUUGAGGUCUAGUGUGUAGACUGCAAUUAUAAUCUUGAGGUCUAGUGUGUAGACUACAGUUAUAAUCUUGAGGUCUAGUGUGUGGACUGCAAUUAUAAUCUUGAGGUCUAGUGUGUAGACUGCAAUUAUAAUCUUGAGGUCUAGUGUGUGGACUGCAAUUAUAAUCUUGAGGUCUAGUGUGCAGACUGCAAUUAUAAUCUUGAAGUGUGUAGACUACAAUUAUAAUCUUCAGGUCCAGUGUGUAGACUACAGUUAUAAUCUUGAGGUCUAGUGUGUAGACUACAAUUAUAAUCUUGAAGUGUGUAGAUUACAGUUAUAAUAUUCAUGUCUAGUGUGUAGACUGCAAUUAUAAUCUUCAGGUCUAGUGUGUAGACUGCAAUUAUAAUCUUGAAGUGUGUAGACUACAAUUAUAAUCUUCAGGUCUAGUGUGUAGACUGCAAUUAUAAUCUUCAGGUCUAGUGUGUAGACUACAGUUAUAAUCUUGAGGUCUAGUGUGUAGACUGCAAUUAUAAUCUUCAGGUCUAGUGUAUAGACUACAGUUAUAAUCUUGAAGUCUAGUGUGUAGAUUACAAUUAUAAUCUUCAGGUCUAGUGUGUAGACUGCAAUUAUAAUCUUGAGGUCUAGUGUGUAGACUGCAAUUAUAAUCUUGAGGUCUAGUGUGCAGACUGCAAUUAUAAUCUUGAAGUGUGUAGACUACAAUUAUAAUCUUCAGGUCUAGUGUGUAGACUACAGUUAUAAUCUUGAGGUCUAGUGUGUAGACUGCAAUUAUAAUCUUCAGGUCUAGUGUAUAGACUACAGUUAUAAUCUUGAAGUCUAGUGUGUAGAUUA